rfam:Triticum aestivum genome assembly, contig: Triticum_aestivum_CS42_TGACv1_scaffold_179191_2DS
AAAGUACUACCUCUGUUCGGAAAUACUUGUUGUAGAAAUGGAUAAAAAUAGAUGUAUUUAGAAUUAUAAAAUAUGUCUACAUACAUUCAUUUAUCUGACAAGUAUUUCCGGACGAAGGGAGUAAAAA